ACCCUCUCAGGGUUGCACUUGGAGAGUUUCCAGUUCUCUACUAGUCUCGGCUAUGGGAGAGAGAGUUAAGCAGAGGCUUACCAAUUCCAUUCCUAGCUUGGACAGUGGCUAGCGAGUGGAAGGCAAUCUGCUACAAGU
rnacentral:snoRNA from 1 species